rnacentral:rRNA from 1 species
AAACUCUUGUUUUUCAGUGUAUUAUCUGAGUGGCAUAAGCAAAUAAUCAAAACUUUCAGCAACGGAUCUCUUGGUUCUGGCAUCGAUGAAGAACGCAGCGAAAUGCGAUAAGUAAUGUGAAUUGCAGAAUUCAGUGAAUCAUCGAAUCUUUGAACGCACAUUGCGCCCGCCAGUACUCUGGCGGGCAUGCCUGUCCGAGCGUCAUUU